UGGAUUGAGAUGCAGACAUACUGCUGUGUUAACCCCACUACGUCGAGAAUGUGGCUGUAAUCCUUAGGGAUGGUGAUCAUGGUGUUCCAUUAAACCGGUCCGUCAGAUGCCUCCACGUCAGAAUGUGUCACCGCCCAGCACUUUCUGAUGAUACUGUUCCGUCAAACUACUUUUCCCCAUAUCCACAUAGCAAUGUGUACACAGUUUCUUUGUUCAUAAACUGCUGACCCUGCACAACACACACUUCGUGAUCUAUUUGACUUUCAAUAUGAGGUACUGCAUGUUUAAUUGAAUAGGCUAAACUGCGCUGGGUUGGCGUAUCUCGCUGGGUUCAUUUCUUGGGAUGUUGUUAUUGUUUUGUGCGUAUUUGCCGGGCGUCAGUAAUGAAGUUGUGCUGCUGGGCUGUGCUGCUAUGAAGUUGAAGUUGCUAAAUCAUGGUGAUGUAGAAAUCGCGUAGCGCGCAUAUAAUGCAUCUACUGUGAUAUGAAUGCCCCACGUCAAUGUGAAACGCGCAGCGUUCAGGCGCACACAGCACAGGAGCCAGCUUCAAACGAGGAGGGGUGCGUCACUUGAGUGGGUUGAGUCAAUGAUGUGAUCUUCCUGUCUGGGUUGGCGCCCCCCCUUGGGUUGUGCCGUGGCGGAGAUCUUUGUGGGCUAUACUCGGCCUUGUCUCAGGAUGGACCUGAGCCCUAUAGGACCAUGCCUCAGGACUACCUGACAUGAUGACUCCUUGCUGUCCCCAGUCCACCUGGCCGUGCUGCUGCUCCAGUUUCAACUGUUCUGCCUUAUUAUUAUUGGACCAUGCUGGUCAUUUAUGAAAAUUUGAACAUCUUGGCCAUGUUCUGUUAUAAUCUCCACCCGGCACAGCCAGAAGAGGACUGGCCACCCCACAUAGCCUGGUUCCUCUCUAAAUUUCUUCCUAGGUUUUGGCCUUUCUAGGGAGUUUUUCCUAGCCACCGUGCUUCUACACCUGCAUUGCUUGCUGUUUGGGGUUUUAGGCUGGGUUUCUGUACGGCACUUUGAGAUAUCAGCUGAUGUACGAAGGGCUAUAUAAAUAAAUUUGAUUUGAUGAGCUGAGGAGAGGAAGCCAUUUCAAAGUAUUGAGAUGCAACCCUCAGUGAUAGAACAGCACGGUGUGUUCUCGUCGGUUCUGUUACAUGUGGACACACCCACUGUUGAUUCUGUUAAUGGUUAACUUUUGGCUACUGUCACAGUGACUGACUAGUGUGUGCUGCAAAACCGCAUCUUAGUUUCAACUAGUAUUUGUUUACAUUGUAGAGCAUGUACAGUACUUGUCAAAAGUUUGGACACAUCUACCCAUUCCAGG
ensembl:lncRNA